UGACGAGUUUGAUCCUGGCUCAGGAUGAACGCUAGCGGCAGGCUUAACACAUGCAAGUCGAGGGGUAUAGUUCUUCGGAGCUAGAGACCGGCGCACGGGUGCGUAACGCGUAUGCAAUCUACCUUUACAGAGGGAUAGCCCAGAGAAAUUUGGGUUAAUACCUCAUAGUAUUUUCGAAUCGCAUGAUUUGAUUAUUAAAGUUCCAACGGUAAAAGAUGAGUAUGCGUCCCAUUAGCUAGAUGGUAAGGUAACGGCUUACCAUGGCAACGAUGGGUAGUGGUCCUGAGAGGGAGAUCCCCCACACUGGUACUGAGACACGGACCAUACUCCUACGGGA
rnacentral:rRNA from 1 species